rnacentral:misc_RNA from 1 species
CCAUGAUAAAUACUACAGCCAUACAACAAUAGACUAACAAAAAAAAAGGGAAAAAAAUGAAAAUUAACAACGAAAUAGGUCUUACUUCACUAACUAGCCUUGACCUUGUCAUCCCCAACAACAGAAAGUAUUGGCAAGCUGCUCAAAAACUCAUCAAGACCCUCGAAAAAUCCAAUCCCUUCAAUAUUAUCCUCCUCCCCGUUUCCGGCUCCAUUCCCUUCGCUCACUCCUGGCACUGCCUCCUCCACCUCAUUGCUAAACAUUACAUUCAA